GGACCCGCACAAGUAGUGGAGCAUGUGGUUUAAUUCGAAGAUACGCGCAGAACCUUACCAACACUUGACAUGUUCGUCGCGACUUUAAGAGAUUAAAGUUUUCGGUUCGGCCGGACGAAACACAGGUGCUGCAUGGCUGUCGUCAGCUCGUGUCGUGAGAUGUUGGGUUAAGUCCCGCAACGAGCGCAACCCUCACUUUUAGUUGCCAUCAUUUAGUUGGGCACUCUGAAAGAACUGCCAGUGAUAAGCUGGAGGAAGGUGGGGAUGACGUCAAGUCCUCAUGGCCCUUACGUGUUGGGCUACACACGUGCUACAAUGGUAUCUACAACAGGAAGCAAGACUGCGAAGUUAAGCAAAUCCUUAAAAGAUACCUCAGUUCGGAUUGCACUCUGCAACUCGAGUGCAUGAAGUUGGAAUC
rnacentral:rRNA from 1 species